rnacentral:rRNA from 1 species
GACGAACCGUGCGAACGUUGUUCGGAAUCACUGGGCGUAAAGGGCGCGUAGGCGGUCCGGUAAGCGUGUGGUGAAAGCUCGGGGCUCAACCCCGAGUCGGCCAUGCGAACUGCGGGACUGGAGCAUGUCAGAGGCAGGCGGAAUUCCGGGUGUAGCGGUGGAAUGCGUAGAGAUCCGGAAGAACACCGGUGGCGAAGGCGGCCUGCUGGGACAUUGCUGACGCUGAGGCGCGACAGCGUGGGGAGCAAACAGG